GCUCGGUGCGGCGAGCCUAAAUAGUGCCUUAGGCCGCACGCGUUAUGCAUAGGUGGCA
rnacentral:ribozyme from 2 species